UACGUAGGGUGCAAGCGUUGUCCGGAAUUAUUGGGCGUAAAGAGCUCGUAGGCGGCUUGUCACGUCGACUGUGAAAACCCGGGGCUCAACUCCGGGCCUGCAGUCGAUACGGGCUGGCUUGAGUGCGGUAGGGGAGACUGGAAUUCCUGGUGUAGCGGUGAAAUGCGCAGAUAUCAGGAGGAACACCGGUGGCGAAGGCGGGUCUCUGGACCGGUACUGACGCUGAGACGCGAAAGCGUGGGGAGCGAACAGG
rnacentral:rRNA from 1 species